rnacentral:rRNA from 1 species
UAAUAGCGUAUAUUAAAGUUGUUGCAGUUAAAAAGCUCGUAGUCGGAUGUCGGGCUCGGGCAGGCUGUCGGCUUCGGUCGGACGGCAGGCUCGGGUCUUUCUGCCUGAGGAUCCAUCUCAUUCACUUGGGGUGGGGACGCAGGCCGUUUACUUUGAAAAAAUUAGAGUGUUCAAAGCAGGCCUACGCUUGAAUACAUUAGCAUGGAAUAAUGGAAUAGGACUUUGGUGCUAUUUUGUUGGUUUAUGGGACCGAAGUAAUGAUUAACAGGGACAGUUGGGGCCGUUUAUAUUUCGUUGUCAGAGGUGAAAUUCUUGGAUUUACGAAAGAUAAACUUCUGCGAAANCANNNGGCAAGGAUGUUUUCAUNGA